GGGCUCGCAGGCGGUUUCUUAAGUCUGAUGUGAAAGCCCCCGGCUCAACCGGGGAGGGUCAUUGGAAACUGGGAAACUUGAGUGCAGAAGAGGAGAGUGGAAUUCCACGUGUAGCGGUGAAAUGCGUAGAGAUGUGGAGGAACACCAGUGGCGAAGGCGACUCUCUGGUCUGUAACUGACGCUGAGGAGCGAAAGCGUGGGGAGCGAACAGGAUUAGAUACCCUGGUAGUCCACGCCGUAAACGAUGAGUGCUAAGUGUUAGGGGGUUUCCGCCCCUUAGUGCUGCAGCUAACGCAUUAAGCACUCCGCCUGGGGAGUACGGUCGCAAGACUGAAACUCAAAGGAAUUGACGGGGGCCCGCACAAGCGGUGGAGCAUGUGGUUUAAUUCGAAGCAACGCGAAGAACCUUACCAGGUCUUGACAUCCUCUGACAACCCUAGAGAUAGGGCUUUCCCUUCGGGGACAGAGUGACAGGUGGUGCAUGGUUGUCGUCAGCUCGUGUCGUGAGAUGUUGGGUUAAGUCCCGCAACGAGCGCAACCCUUGAUCUUAGUUGCCAGCAUUCAGUUGGGCACUCUAAGGUGACUGCCGGUGACAAACCGGAGGAAGG
rnacentral:rRNA from 1 species